CCCAGACAGCCAGGAUGUUGGCUUAGAAGCAGCCAUCAUUUAAAGAAAGCGUAAUAGCUCACUGGUCGAGUCGGCCUGCGCGGAAGAUGUAACGGGGCUAAACCAUGCACCGAAGCUGCGGCAGCGAACGUAUCACUUAAAGCGAUUCAGCGGGUUACGAUUGACGGAGCGAAGCGACGUCAAAGCGUAUACAAAGUCGAGUCGGUUUAAGGAUACGUUCGUUGGGUAGGGGAGCGUUCUGUAAGCCUGUGAAGGUGUGUCGUGAGGCAUGCUGGAGGUAUCAGAAGUGCGAAUGCUGACAUAAGUAACGAUAAAGCGGGUGAAAAGCCCGCUCGCCGGAAGACCAAGGGUUCCUGUCCAACGUUAAUCGGGGCAGGGUGAGUCGACCCCUAAGGCGAGGCCGAAAGGCGUAGUCGAUGGGAAACGGGUUAAUAUUCCCGUACUUGGUGUUACUGCGAAGGGGGGACGGAGAAGGCUAUGUUGGCCGGGCGACGGUUGUCCCGGUUUAAGCGUGUAGGCUGGUUUUCCAGGCAAAUCCGGUUCACUUUAAAACUGAGGCGUGAUGACGAGGCACUACGGUGCUGAAGCAACAAAUGCCCUGCUUCCAGGAAAAGCCUCUAAGCAUCAGGUAACAUCAAAUCGUACCCCAAACCGACACAGGUGGUCAGGUAGAGAAUACCAAGGCGCUUGAGAGAACUCGGGUGAAGGAACUAGGCAAAAUGGUGCCGUAACUUCGGGAGAAGGCACGCUGACACGUAGGUGAAGUGAUUUACUCAUGGAGCUGAAGUCAGUCGAAGAUACCAGCUGGCUGCAACUGUUUAUUAAAAACACAGCACUGUGCAAACACGAAAGUGGACGUAUACGGUGUGACGCCUGCCCGGUGCCGGAAGGUUAAUUGAUGGGGUCAGCGCAAGCGAAGCUCCUGAUCGAAGCCCCGGUAAACGGCGGCCGUAACUAUAACGGUCCUAAGGUAGCGAAAUUCCUUGUCGGGUAAGUUCCGACCUGCACGAAUGGCGUAAUGAUGGCCAGGCUGUCUCCACCCGAGACUCAGUGAAAUUGAACUCGCUGUGAAGAUGCAGUGUACCCGCGGCAAGACGGAAAGACCCCGUGAACCUUUACUAUAGCUUGACACUGAACAUUGAGCCUUGAUGUGUAGGAUAGGUGGGAGGCUUUGAAGCGUGGACGCCAGUCUGCGUGGAGCCGACCUUGAAAUACCACCCUUUAAUGUUUGAUGUUCUAACGUGGACCCGUAAUCCGGGUUGCGGACAGUGUCUGGUGGGUAGUUUGACUGGGGCGGUCUCCUCCUAAAGAGUAACGGAGGAGCACGAAGGUUGGCUAAUCCUGGUCGGACAUCAGGAGGUUAGUGCAAUGGCAUAAGCCAGCUUGACUGCGAGCGUGACGGCGCGAGCAGGUGCGAAAGCAGGUCAUAGUGAUCCGGUGGUUCUGAAUGGAAGGGCCAUCGCUCAACGGAUAAAAGGUACUCCGGGGAUAACAGGCUGAUACCGCCCAAGAGUUCAUAUCGACGGCGGUGUUUGGCACCUCGAUGUCGGCUCAUCACAUCCUGGGGCUGAAGUAGGUCCCAAGGGUAUGGCUGUUCGCCAUUUAAAGUGGUACGCGAGCUGGGUUUAGAACGUCGUGAGACAGUUCGGUCCCUAUCUGCCGUGGGCGCUGGAGAACUGAGGGGGGCUGCUCCUAGUACGAGAGGACCGGAGUGGACGCAUCACUGGUGUUCGGGUUGUCAUGCCAAUGGCACUGCCCGGUAGCUAAAUGCGGAAGAGAUAAGUGCUGAAAGCAUCUAAGCACGAAACUUGCCCCGAGAUGAGUUCUCCCUGAGACUUAGAGUCUCCUGAAGGAACGUUGAAGACGACGACGUUGAUAGGCCGGGUGUGUAAGCGCAGCGAUGCGUUGAGCUAACCGGUACUAAUGAACCGUGAGGCUUAACCUUACAACGCCGAAG
rnacentral:rRNA from 1 species